GUAAGUUAUUAAGGGCACACGGUGGAUGCCUUGGCAUUAAGAGCCGAUGAAGGACGUGUGAAUCUGCGAUAAGCCUCGGGGAGCCGAUAACUGGGCUGUGAUCCGAGGAUUUCCGAAUGGGGAAACCUGGCUCAUCUUCAUGGUGAGUUACCGCCAGCUGAAUGUAUAGGCUGGUUGGGGGGAACGCGGGGAAGUGAAACAUCUCAGUACCCGCAGGAAGAGAAAAUAAAGUAAUGAUUCUGUGAGUAGUGGCGAGCGAAAGCGGAAGAGACUAAACCUGUGGUGUGUGAUAGCGGUUAGGCGUUGCAUCAUGGGGGUUGUGGGAGUCACAGUGGCAGUUCUAACUGGCUGCCGGCAUGAUGUUCAGGAUGGUAGGUGAACGACUUGGAAUGGUCGGCCGUAGAGGGUGAGAGUCCCGUAAUCGAAAUUGUUCUGUCCGUGGUGUGGCCACCCGAGUAGCACGGGGCUCGUGGAAUCUCGUGUGAAUCUGCCAGGACCACCUGGUAAGUCUAAAUACUUCUUAGUGACCGAUAGUGAAUCAGUACCGUGAGGGAAUGGUGAAAAGUACCCCGGGAGGGGAGUGAAAUAGUACCUGAAACCGUGUGCUUACAAGCCGUUGGAGCCUUUUGGGGUGACAGCGUGCCUUUUGAAGAAUGAGCCUGCGAGUUAGUGUUAUGUCGCGAGGUUAACCCGUGUGGGGUAUCCGUAGCGAAAGCGAGUCUGAAUAGGGCGUUUGAGUGGCAUGACCUAGACCCGAAGCGGAGUGAUCUAUCCAUGGCCAGGUUGAAGCGACGGUAAGACGUCGUGGAGGACCGAACCCACUUCAGUUGAAAAUGGAGGGGAUGAGCUGUGGAUAGGGGUGAAAGGCCAAUCAAACUCUGUGAUAGCUGGUUCUCCCCGAAAUGCAUUUAGGUGCAGCGUUACGUGUUUCUUGCCGGAGGUAGAGCUACUGGAUGGCCGAUGGGCCUUCACGGGUUACUGACGUCAGCUAAACUCCGAAUGCCGGUAAGUGAGAGCGUAGCAGUGAGACAGUGGGGGAUAAGCUUCAUUGUCGAGAGGGAAACAGCCCAGACCACCAACUAAGGCCCCUAAGCGUGUGCUAAGUGGGAAAGGAUGUGGAGUUGCUUAGACAACCAGGAGGUUGGCUUAGAAGCAGCCAUCCUUGAAAGAGUGCGUAACAGCUCACUGGUCAAGUGAUUCUGCGCCGAUAAUGUAGCGGGGCUCAAGUACACCGCCGAAGUUGUGGCAAUGAUCUUUUUGGAUUGUUGGGUAGGGGAGCGUCGUGUGGCCGGUGAAGCUGCGGUGUAAACCAGUGGUGGAGGCUAUGCGAGUGAGAAUGCAGGCAUGAGUAGCGAAAGAUGAGUGAGAAACUCAUCCGCCGGAUGAUCAAGGGUUCCAGGGUCAAGUUAAUCUGCCCUGGGUUAGUCGGGGCCUAAGGCGAGGCCGACAGGCGUAGUCGAUGGAUAACGGGUUGAUAUUCCCGUACCGGUGAAAAACCGCCCAUACUGAUAUUGUGAUGCUAACCAUGCGAAGCAUGAUGUGCAGGCUUUUGUUUGUGUGUUGUGUGGGUUGUGGGACCCGAUCUUUGGAGGUAAACGUGUUAACAGGUGUGACGCAGGAAGGUAGCCAAGCCACGCGAUGGUUGUCGUGGUCUAAGUGUGUAGGGUUGUCGGUUGUUAAAUGCGCCGGCUGUGUGCCUGAGACGUGAUGGGACCCCGUUUUUGGGGGAUUUGGUGAUCCUAUGCUGCCGAGAAAAGCAUCGGCGUGAGGUUUUAGCCGCCCGUACCCUAAACCGACACAGGUGAUCAGGUAGAGAAUACUAAGGCGAUCGAGAGAAUCAUGGUUAAGGAACUCGGCAAAAUGCCCCCGUAACUUCGGGAGAAGGGGGACCUUGAGCGUGAUGGGCACUUGCUGCCUGGAGCGUGUAUGGGUCGCAGAGACCAGGGGGAAGCGACUGUUUAUCAAAAACACAGGUCCGUGCGAAGUCGUAAGACGAUGUAUACGGACUGACUCCUGCCCGGUGCUGGAAGGUUAAGAGGAUUGGUUAGCCCUUUUUUGGGCGAAGCUGAGAAUUUAAGCCCCAGUAAACGGCGGUGGUAACUAUAACCAUCCUAAGGUAGCGAAAUUCCUUGUCGGGUAAGUUCCGACCUGCACG
rnacentral:rRNA from 1 species